rnacentral:rRNA from 1 species
GAAAGUAAACAAGGGCGCAUGGAGGAUGCCUAGGCUCUCGGAGGCGAAGAAGGACGUGAUAAGCUGCGAAAAGUUACGGUAAGGCGCAAAUAGCCCUAGACCCGUAAAUAUCCGAAUGGGGCAACCCGGCCAGCAAUGGCCAUACCGCCAAGCGGUAAGCCAACGCGGGGAACUGAAACAUCUAAGUACCCGCAGGAAAAGAAAAUAACAAUGAUUCCGCCAGUAGUGGCGAGCGAACGCGGAACAGCCCAAACCACCCGUGUUACGGCACGGGUGGGGUAGAAGGAUCCACGAUACGGCAAGAAAUAAGUUAGCAGAAUACGAUGGAAAUCGUAGCCAAAGACGGUGACAGCCCGGUACGCGAAAACCGACAGAAGCCCAGUGGACACCUGAGUAACCCAGGACACGAGAAAUCCGGGGCGAAUCAGCGGGGCCCAUCCCGUAAGGCUAAAUACUCCCGAGAGACCGAUAGCGAACCAGUACUGUGAAGGAAAGGUGAAAAGAACCUCGAACAGAGGAGUGAAAGAGACCCUGAAACCAUGCGCCUACAAGCGGUCGGAGCAUGUUAAAAUGUGACGGCGUGCCUUUUGCAUAAUGAACCUACGAGUUACUCUCGCUGGCAAGGUUAAGCGAUUCAGUCGCGCAGCCGAAGCGAAAGCAAGUCCGAACAAGGCGUACAGUCAGCGGGAGUAGACGCGAAACCAAGUGAUCUACCCUUGGUCAGGUUGAAGGUUGGGUAACACCAACUGGAGGACCGCACCGAUAAGCGUUGAAAAGCUUACGGAUGAACUGAGGGUAGGAGUGAAAGGCCAAUCAAACUUGGAGAUAGCUCGUACUCCCCGAAAUGCAUUUAGGUGCAGCCUCGAAGCAGAGUGAUAGAGGUAGAGCGACUGAUAAGAUGCGAGGGCUUCACCGCCUAUCAAGUCUUGACAAACUCCGAAUACUAUCACUUGGUCUUUGGGAGUGAGGGCAUGGGUGCUAAGGUCCAUGUCCGAAAGAGGAACAACUCAGACCACCAGCUAAGGUCCCGAAAUAAGGGCUAAGUUGAAUAAACGAAGUAAAACUGCAAAGACAGCUAGGAUGUUGGCUUGGAAGCAGCCAUUCAUUUAAAGAGUGCGUAACAGCUCACUAGUCGAGGAGUUUUGCAUGGAUAAUAAUCGGGCAUAAGCCCUUUACCGAAGCUGUGGAUGUCGUAAGACAUGGUAGGGGAGCAUUCCGGCGGCGACGAAGGCCGUCCUCGAGGACGACUGGAGCUUUCGGAAAAGCAAAUGUAGGUAUAAGUAACGAUAAAGGGGGCGUGAAACCCCCUCGCCAUAAGACUAAGGAUUCCUGAUCAACGCUAAUCGGAUCAGGGUAAGUCGGGCCCUAAGGCGCAGCCGAACGGCGUAGCCGAUGGAAGAAACGGUAAAGAUUCCGUUACUGGAUAUAGGAGCGAUGUGGAGACGGAGAAGUGACACACCCGCCUGCCGACGGAAGCGCAGGUUAAAGGAAGUAGGUAAACGCCGGGUAGGCAAAUCCGCCCAGCGUGCCGAAGCUGACAGUAUCGAGAGCCCCCGGGCAAUCGAAUAGCGGUGGUAAUCAGGCUCCCAAGAAAAUCCGCUAAGCAAAUUCUAUAUCCACCCGUACCCCAAACGGACACACGUAGUCGGGUAGAAUAUACCAAGGCGCUCGAAAGACUCACGGUUAAGGAACUAGGCAAAUUGACCCUGUAACCUCGGGAAAAAGGGUCCCCAGUAAGAUGGGGCGCAGAGAAUAGGUCCAGGCAACUGUUUAACAAAAACACAGGGCUGUGCAAAAUUUCAAGAUGAAGUAUACAGCCUGACACCUGCCCGGUGCCGGAAGGUUAAGAGGAGAGCUAAUCGCAAGAGAAGGCUUGAAUUGAAGCCCCGGUAAACGGCGGCCGUAACUAUAACGGUCCUAAGGUAGCGAAAUUCCUUGUCGGGUAAGUUC